GAUGAACGCUGGCGGCGUGCUUAACACAUGCAAGUCGAACGAUUAAAGCCCCUUCGGGGGUGUAUAGAGUGGCGAACGGGUGAGUAACACGUGGGCAAUCUGCCCCUCACUUCGGGAUAACUCAGGGAAACUUGAGCUAAUACCGAAUACUCCGGUCGGAUCGCAUGGUCUGAUCGGGAAAGCUCCGACGGUGAGGGAUGAGCCCGCGGUCCAUUAGCUUGUUGGUGGGGUAACGGCCCACCAAGGCUACGAUGGAUAGCCGAGCUGAGAGGCUGAUCGGCCACACUGGGACUGAGACACGGCCCAGACUCCUACGGGAGGCAGCAGUGGGGAAUUUUGCGCAAUGGGCGAAAGCUUGACGCAGCAACGCCGCGUGCGGGAUGAAGGCCUUCGGGUUGUAAACCGCUUUCAGCAGGGAUGAAACUGACAGUACCUGCAGAAGAAGCCCCGGCUAACUACGUGCCAGCCGCCGCGGUAAUAC
rnacentral:rRNA from 1 species